GGCUUCGUGGCGCAGUGGUCAAUGCGUAUGGCUUCCAGUCAGGACGCCAGGGUUCGAUUCCCACCAGGCGGAUCCU